rnacentral:rRNA from 1 species
UACGUAGGGUGCAAGCGUUGUCCGGAAUUAUUGGGCGUAAAGAGCUCGUAGGCGGUCUGUCGCGUCGGCUGUGAAAACCCGAGGCUCAACCUCGGGCCUGCAGUCGAUACGGGCAAACUAGAGUACUGCAAGGGAGACUGGAAUUCCUGGUGUAGCGGUGAAAUGCGCAGAUAUCAGGAGGAACACCGGUGGCGAAGGCGGGUCUCUGGGCAGUAACUGACGCUGAGGAGCGAAAGCGUGGGGAGCGAACAGG